rnacentral:rRNA from 1 species
GACGAACGCUGGCGGCGUGCUUAACACAUGCAAGUCGAGCGGUAAGGCCUCCUUCGGGGGGUACACGAGCGGCGAACGGGUGAGUAACACGUGAGUAAUCUGCCCUUCACUCUGGGAUAAGCACCGGAAACGGUGUCUAAUACCGGAUAUGACAUUGCCUCGCAUGGGGUGGUGUGGAAAGUUUUUUCGGUGGGGGAUGUGCUCGCGGCCUAUCAGCUUGAUGGUGGGGUAAUGGCCUACCAUGGCGUCGACGGGUAGCCGGCCUGAGAGGGUGACCGGUCACACUGGGACUGAGACACGGCCCAGGCGCCUCCGGGAGGCAGCAGUGGGGAAUAUUGGACAAUGGGCGGAAGCCUGAUCCAGCAACGCCGCGUGAGGGAUGACGGCCUUCGGGUUGUAAACCUCUUUCAUCACCGACGAAGCCUUUGGGUGACGGUAGGUGGAGAAGAAGCACCGGCCAACUACGUGCCAGCCGCCGCCGUAAUAC